UCGGAUUUUUGACAACAAGUCGAUCUCAUUUCUCCCUGAAAAUGUCGAUGUUGCUCAAAAGUCGAUCUCAUCUUUUCCUGAGGAUGUCGAUGUCGUGUGUCUGCUGAUUCUAUCCUUUUCUGAAGAUGUCGGAUUUUUGACAACAAGUCGAUCUCAUUUCUCCCUGGAAAUGUCGAUGUUGCUCAAAAGUCGAUCUCAUCUUU
rnacentral:lncRNA from 1 species